GACGAACGCUGGCGGCGUGCUUAACACAUGCAAGUCGAACGGAAAGGCCCUGCUUUUGUGGGGUGCUCGAGUGGCGAACGGGUGAGUAACACGUGAGUAACCUGCCCUUGACUUUGGGAUAACUUCAGGAAACUGGGGCUAAUACCGGAUAGGAGCUCCUGCUGCAUGGUGGGGGUUGGAAAGUUUCGGCGGUUGGGGAUGGACUCGCGGCUUAUCAGCUUGUUGGUGGGGUAGUGGCUUACCAAGGCUUUGACGGGUAGCCGGCCUGAGAGGGUGACCGGCCACAUUGGGACUGAGAUACGGCCCAGACUCCUACGGGAGGCAGCAGUGGGGAAUAUUGCACAAUGGGCGGAAGCCAGAUGCAGCAACGCCGCGUGCGGGAUGACGGCCUUCGGGUUGUAAACCGCUUUCGCCUGUGACGAAGCGUGAGUGACGGUAAUGGGUAAAGAAGCGCCGGCUAACUACGUG
rnacentral:rRNA from 1 species